UUGUAAUGAUGUGGAUCAAGCGUCUGACCUGAAGUGACCAUGUAGACAAAUUGCACGGAUAAA
rnacentral:snoRNA from 1 species